AUUGUCUGCCUAUGUGUCUUGACCAAAUUACGUGCCAGCAGUCGCGGUAAUACGUAGAAGACUAGUGUUAUUCAUCUUUAAUUGGUUUAAAGGGUACCUAGACAGUAAAUCAAGCCUUAAACGGGACUAAUUUACUAGAGUUACUUAUGAGGGGGUAUUAAAGUACUAAUGGUGUAGAGAUGAAAUUCUGUCAUACCUUUUCUAGGUCGCUAGGACAUAUGGCACAGGUAUAGGCGAAAGCAUCCCCUUAUGUGAUAACUGACGUUGAAGGACGAAGGCUUUGUGUCGCGAACAGGAUUAGAUACCCCAGUAGUCAAAGCAGAAAAUGAUGAAUGUCAUAGAUUAGAUAUAUAGUUUAUUCUAUAAAUGAAAGUGUAAGCAUUCCACCUCAAGAGUAAUUUGGCAACAUUGGAACUGAAAUCAUUAGACCGUAUCUGAAACCAGUAGUGAAGUAUGUUGUUUAAUUAGAUGUUACGCAAAAAACCUUACCACAAUUUGAAUAUUUAUAUCUAUCUUUUUUUUUUGAUCUUUUUUUAUCAUUAAAAUAAAUCAUUAAAAUAAAGGAAGAAAAAAUUAUAAAAAGGAAAUAGAUAUAUUUACAAGCGUUGCACGGCUGUCUUCAGUUAAUGUCGUGAGAUUUUGGUUAGUUCCAUUAAAUUAACGUAAACCCUUACUUUAUUUUUAUAUAAAGUGGUUCCCCACUAGAUUGGAUAAGAUAACAGGGACUAGG
rnacentral:rRNA from 1 species